ensembl:lncRNA
CCCAUCAACCGCGUCUAGAGUAUCUCAUCUACCGCUCGUCAGAGAGCAUCCCGUCUACCGCGUCCUAAGAGAGCACCCGUCUACCGCUCUAAAGAGCAUCCCGUCUACCGCUCUAGAGAGAGCACCCUCACCGGGUCUGAGAGGCAUCCCGUCUACCGCGUCUAGAGAGAGCAUCCGCCCGUCUAGAACACGGUCUAGAGAGAGCAUGCCCGUCUACGCGUCUAGAGAGAGCAUCCCGUCUACCGCGUCUAGAGAGCAGCCGUCUACCGCGUCAGAGAGACAUCCCGUUAACCGCGUCUAGAGAGCAUCCCGUCUACCGCGUCUAGAGAAGAGCAUCCCGUCUACCGCGUCUAGAGGACAUCCCAUCAAUUACCGCGUCUAGAGAGCAUACCCAUCUACCACCGCGUCUAGAGGAUAUCCCAUCUACCGCGUCUAGAGAGAGCAUGGGACACCCUACUGUCAGUAUGGUACUUUGAAGAGACAGACACGCGUUGGUUACCUUCAUCAGGGCGUCCCCAGGUACUUGGUCACCUGCGGGGCCAGACCGAGGGGACAACAGAGCCUGAGGUCGUUGAAGGCGUCAGAUGUUGUUGAGGAAGCAGGCAGAGGGGGGAAGUCCAGCAGAGCCAUGGGGGGGGCUGGGGUACCUGGCUGGGUACUGGGGGGCUGGAGGGUACCUGGCAUGGAGCCCCACCCAGCAUAGGGGCAGAGAUCAGAGUGUACAGGUUCAUGUCCUCCUGGAACCUGUCUAUGGCUUCCCUACGCUUUACGGAAGGUAUCGCCCGCCACGCGCUGGAACAUCGGGGCCACUGGCCGCGGAAGUUCCUGCCCCAACACACUGAAGGACGCCGAAAUACAGCACUGUCCCAGCAGAGUCAGGCGUCGCGCCCACCCCCCUCUGGAGGUCUCGGUCCAGGGUCACCAGAAACUAGACACCGCUGCACACCACGCCGUGGAAGAUGGCCCCUCGUUCACCGCCUGGCCUGAACACCUUUCAACCAACAACCGUACAUCACAAGGCUGCCCCAUCACCACCUUCACACAGACACCGUACAUCACAGGGCUGCCCCCUCGUUCACAACAGACACCGUACAUCACAAGGCUGCCCCCUCAUAUCACCACGAGACACCGUACAUCACAAGGCUGCCCACUCAUUCCACCACCACAGACACCGUACAUCACAACAGGCCUGUCCCCUCAUUCAACACAUUUCACCACAGACACCAGUACAUCACAAGGCUGCCCCUCGUUCACCACAGACACCGUCACAUCACAAGACUGCCCCCUCAUUCAACACCUUUCACCACAGACCACCGUACAUCACAAGGCUGCCCCCUCGUUCACCACAGACACCGUACAUCACAAGGCUGCCCCCUCAUUCAACACCUUUCACCACAGACACCGUACAUCACAAGGCUGCCCAGCCAGUGACCUGACACUUCAGGUGGACUAUUGACCUGUCUGUACCAAAUCCACAGUACUGACGGGCUUUUCCAGAACACAUAUGGACAUAUUAAACACAUCUUUAGAUAAUUCUUGUUGGGUUUAAUCUUCAUAUUUAUGUAAAUCGUAUCAAAUAAUUCAGCCUUAAAUUAAAUAAAGCAUUGUCACCGGGAGACAGCAGGGGGUCCUCGUCAGAGAAGAUGGCUCUGUACUGGGUGAUGAUGUCAAACAGAUGUACCUGGAACAGAGGAGACAAAUGUCAGAGAAUUAAAAUCCUGUUCCUGGGUCCUUCAUUCCACUGCUAGAUAACAGAAGCCAGGUUACACACGCGACAGGCCUCGAUGGUCUGGUGAUGUGGCAGUAAGGGUCUCAUCAGGGACAGUGACAGGAUGGAAUGGAGCCAGCUGCCCCCGCCUGCAGGAACUUGACCCGUAGCUCCGCCUCCGUGAACACGUCCAUCCUGCGUAGGUAGCCAAUCACACGCAGGCACACAGGAAGUGGGAGUUGCUACGAAGCUGUUGCAACAGCUGGUUCAGCAUGAGCUGAGCCGACUGACGCACCUCGUGACGAUGCCCUGAAGAAGACCAGGCCAUUACAGCGAGGUCAGGGAAUCACACUGUCGU